rnacentral:lncRNA from 1 species
GCCAUGACUCAGCAGGAGGCUAACACAUCGAACCCGAUGGGAUCAGGUAAUCUCACUCUGGUAUGUUCUGGUGUGUCUGUUUCAUGAACCCUGAUGUUUCUCUUUUCUUUGUUUGUUUGUGAGCCCUUGUGAGGAUGGGUUGAUAGCUUAUGGGUUAGAGUAUCCCCUUGGGGUCAGUACACCCAAGUGUGAUCCAUCUGUGGCAGAGUCAGUCUGCCGGUAUAGUCAGAGUAUGUGUUGUGAGUAG